rnacentral:rRNA from 1 species
GACGAACCGUGCGAACGUUAUUCGGAAUCACUGGGCUUAAAGCGCGUGUAGGCGGGACGGCGCGUCGGCCGCUGAAAUCCCCCGGCUCAACCGGGGAAGUGGCGCCGAUACGGCCGCCCUGGAGCGACGUAGGGGGGACUGGAACUUCCGGUGGAGCGGUGAAAUGCGUUGAGAUCGGAAGGAACGCCCGUGGCGAAAGCGAGUCCCUGGACGUCGGCUGACGCUGAGACGCGAAAGCCAGGGGAGCGAACGGG